UCUCUCUUCUUUUCCCCUAGCUCUCUCUCCCUUUUCUCACUCUCCCCUCACACCGUCACCACCACCCUCAAGCCGCCACCACCUGGCUCCGCCACACUCCCUCACGCCGGCACCACCCUCACGCUGCCGCACUCCUUAACGCCGUCGAUCUCCCACUCGUUUACACUGCCGGUUGCCUAGACACCGCUCUAGUCUAGCCUAGCCACCACCCACCACACCGCCCAAGCCACCGCGGCCAUCGUCGACCUCCAUACCCAUUCCUAGUUGAGACUUUGAGAGAUUUUGAGGAAAUAGCUAUAAAUUUUGACAUGGACGCUUGGACCAACAAGAAGUAGGAAGUCUUCUUCUUCCUCUCCUCUGACUCUGGGUCUAAGGAUCUUGCUUUGGUAAACAAGAACAGUCGUUCCAAGCAAAAAAAUGUACAUACUGGUGGUUCAAAAAACUUUGCUUCGUACGCAGAAGAAAUGGUAACAACGCUUGGGCGUCCUGUAGAGUGUGCAGAGAGGUAUAUGUAAAACUCCAUCUUCGUAAAGAUGGUACUCCUGUUAACACUGAAGCAGAAAGCAACAUUGAAAAAAUCAACGAACUGUUGAGUGAGUCCUCAAAUCGUGUGCAAUCAUCCGACCUUACUGGAAGUAUUGCAUGGGCACUAGAUGAUAUAUAUGCUCAAGUGUUUGGUAAUGAGCGCAAUGGUCAUGUUCGAGGUGUGGGAUUUGGCCCAACCCCAAGUAUGCAUCCUGCCAAGAGCACUCCUGCAAUUGCUCAAGUAAGAAGCCAAGAAAGGGAUGCUAAAGUAACUCAAUUAGAGAAUCAAGUGGCUUCUUUGACGGAGAAAGUGGAUCGUUAUGAAAACUUGGAGGAGCGAAUGACUCAAUUGAUGCAACUAGUGCAAAAUCAGCAAAAUCAUUCUUCAGAAGCUAGUCAGGGUGGUUUCGGUUUACACCAUUAAUCUCCAACUCCUUACAGAUCACAGGCUUCAUCCCAUCAAGAAACUAGCAUAUAGCAGUACAUACAGUGUUUUAAGGACUUCAUGGGCUAUUACAUAGUUGUUUGAACAACCACAAUUAUUUUGGAACUAUUGUACUUUGUUUAUAAUAUUGUCAUAGUUUUGGUGGUUGUUUUUUUUUUGUAUAGGUAGACAAGUGUUCUAUUACAACCACAUAUAUUUUGGAAGUAUUGUACUUUGUU